rnacentral:lncRNA from 1 species
UCCAGCGCUGCUUCUGGCUGGAAGGUCUGAGGCUGUGUAGGGAGGAGGGAGAGGCCUCUGUCUUCCUCCCUUCCCCACCCGCCUCCCCUGGAGAGCAGGGAACGGAACAAAGCAUCCCUGGGACCGGCUUGCACCUGCUCAGAAGGAUGACCACACCAGAGGCCAGUGUCAUGCACGUGGAGUUCCCAGCCUCCAGAAACAUAAGCAGAAGAAAUGUCUCGUCUUUACAAAUUACCGUCUGUGAUAUUCUGUUAUAGCAGCAGAGAACAGCCUAAGACACUCCAUUUCUACUAACGGGCAUUUGAUGCAACGGUCAUCCUGAAAAUUCAUGGAGAAAGUCUGCUCCAAAACCAAUUUUCUGCUCCAUAACAUCUGCCUUUGGAGAAUCUCAUAUAAAUAAGGAAUGAGGUGCAGAUGUAGAAAGACAGUGGGUUCUGACAGCAUCAUUCUAAAUGGAGAGGGGUGAUAAACGCCCAGUAGAAUUCAAAUAAAAUAUGAACUUCAGAGAAAGGAAAAAAGUGAUGUGACUCUGCACCCUCAGCUGAACAUGGUAGAAAUUAUCCUGUAGAGAAACAGAACAGGGAUAAAAAAAGUCACCUUCCUUAAUUUGCAUGUAUAUUAUAAUUCAUUUCCAGACAUGAAAGUAAGACUGAGAUUUCAGCUGCUGAAUUAUACAUCUUGAUUCUUGCAUACAGAGGACUCAAAACAUUUCCCCCAAAGGCCUAAAUAAUGAUGUUCAGCCUUAUUUUUCCUUCUACACACCUCACACACAAACAAGGAUGGGCCAUCCUUUCUGGAACUCUAUCCCCAGGACAUGUGGUGAAUGUCACAGAUAAAGAACCAGGCUGAAUAGCCAAAGGCGUCCAAAAGCGCAGGCUUGUGACUUGAUUGUGCAGCCGUUGGGAAGGACAGAGCCAGGAUGGCCGACAGCACCGUUCCCUCUGGGCAGCACCACCAGCAGGGACCACUGUCACCAUCUUCACUGGAGACAGAGAUCGAGGCUCUGCAUGGCGACUCCAAGGAGCACAGAAUGGAAAAAGGAGAAGUCACUUUACAGUGGAGAAACCUGGCAACCAGGCUCAGCCAGGAAUCAAGGUCAACGUCAGCCAUGAUGUCCGAUGCAUAACAGGGGCCCUCAAUAUGCCGUGAGAGACAGCCACCUUACCUCUGUACACCCCAGGCUAAUCAGGAGCAAAGCACUGGACAAAUCCCAACAAAGCGACCAUGCACGGAACACCUGGCCAGUCCUCCUCACAACUGUCAAGGUCAAUAAAGCAAGGAAAGCCUGGGAAACGGUCACAGCCAAGAGCAACCCAAGGAGACACGAUGACUGAAUGUCACCUGGGAUCCCGGGUGGGAGCCUGGGAGAGUAAAAGGCCGUUGGAGCAACGAAUAAAGUGUGACUGAAGCGUGGACAUGGGUUAAGAGUGAUGCAUCCGUGCGAACUCAUUAACUGUGACGAAUGUACCGUGGUAAUGAAAGAGGGUGAUGCUGGACUCCAGGAUUCCUAGAGCUUUGGCUGUUGUCAAGGAAGAAAUGUCCGCAGAGGCUUCUCUAAAGAGAGUCCCCAUACGCCUGGGAGGUGCAGUGACGCAUCUGACCCCGCUGAGGAGGGAGAACCAACUUGUGUCACUAAAGGCCUGAGGUGAGUUGGACCCAAGACUCGCAGCUCAGGCCCUUGUGAGUCUCCUCCAGCUCAGGUGCAUGGGAAGCAGCACCGCCUUCACGAUUCCACCAACGGCUUUCAUCUCCACCUGCCCCCGUGAAACACACCGGAUAUCAGCUCCCCCAGGCACAGCAGCUGAAUCCCAGGGUCUAUGACGUGCUGCGGAGGCGGGGAGGGGGACAGGAGGCCACCAGA